rnacentral:rRNA from 1 species
UACGUAGGGUGCAAGCGUUAAUCGGAAUUACUGGGCGUAAAGCGUGCGCAGGCGGUUAUGUAAGACAGAUGUGAAAUGCCCGGGCUUAACCUGGGAACUGCAUUUGUGACUGCAUGGCUAGAGUUUGGCAGAGGGGGGUAGAAUUCCACGUGUAGCAGUGAAAUGCGUAGAUAUGUGGAGGAACACCGAUGGCGAAGGCAGCCCCCUGGGUCAAGACUGACGCUCAUGCACGAAAGCGUGGGGAGCAAACAGGAUUAGAAGUACCC